GAUGAACGCUGGCGGCGUGCCUAAUACAUGCAAGUCGAGCGAACAGACGAGGAGCUUGCUCCUUCGACGUUAGCGGCGGACGGGUGAGUAACACGUAGGUAACCUACCUAUAAGACUGGGAUAACUUCGGGAAACCGGAGCUAAUACCGGAUAAUAUUUCGAACCGCAUGGUUCGAUAGUGAAAGAUGGCUUUGCUAUCACUUAUAGAUGGACCUGCGCCGUAUUAGCUAGUUGGUAAGGUAACGGCUUACCAAGGCAACGAUACGUAGCCGACCUGAGAGGGUGAUCGGCCACACUGGAACUGAGGCACGGUCCAGACUCCUACGGGAGGCAGCAGUAGGGAAUCUUCCGCAAUGGGCGAAAGCCUGACGGAGCAACGCCGCGUGAGUGAUGAAGGACUUCGGAUCGUAAAACUCUGUUAUUAGGGAAGAACAAACGUGUAAGUAACUGUGCACGUCUUGACGGUACCUAAUCAGAAAGCCACGGCUAACUACGUG
rnacentral:rRNA from 1 species